rnacentral:rRNA from 1 species
AACGACCGUACCAUGCUGAAUAUACCGGUUCUCGUUAGAUCACCGAAGUUAAGCAUCACUGGGCGCGGUCAGUACUUGGGUGAGUGACC